AUUCAUUGUAUCAGCAAAUUGUCACUAAACCUUUACUCAUUCUUAAAAAAAAAUUAACAAGAUAUAUAGAGAGCAGAGCACUGCUCAACUCUGGCUUAUGGUGGUACUGGGAAUUGAAUCUGGGACUUUAGAGCCCCAGGCAUGAACGUCUUUUCGCAUAACCAUUAUGCUGUCCCCACUGCCCAACAAUGGCUUUUUAAAAACACUAUCAAAAGCAUGAUUUAUGAGAGAAAAAAUUCAUAAGCUGGACUUCAUUGGAGUUCAAUAUACUAUAGUGAAGGAAGAUACUAGAUGGUGUUAAGUAUGGUGUCAGACACAAGGGUAAGAAACUAUACACAUGUAAUAAUAACUAUCUUAUAAAUCAUUAUCCCCACCAGUACUGUAUGAAUGAAGCUUAAAAAAGUAAGUUUUGGGAGACGCCUGCAGCCUCAGGAACUCCUGCGCUAGGUCGGAUAGCCAGUGGAAGUCCUUGUGGGAGAGCACCAGCCUGACAGACUCCAGGAACACCAAAGGAGACCACCUGGGACCAAAAAAGGACAGGACUAGAACAACUUCAGGAACCCACCAGAUCAUCGUUGGUCUCUUGGCUGAAAGCACAUUUCAGGAGUAUAUCUAAGGUCAUCAAGCUGAUGUGCUCAAAGACUUCUACGCCUGUGUCCCGAGUACCACAAAUUUCCUCCCAUUUACCCUAGCACAGAAGAUCAAGGUCAACAUCAUCAUAACUGGACUGCCUUUACCUGAAGAUGACUUUGGUUUAAGACAGGGGAGACAACAAUGAACAUGUAAGUAACUAAGUCAAGUGCCUUUUCAGCAGGAGGAGGAGUGGACACAUGCACCCAAACUGGUUGGUGAAAAAGAGCAAACUUGGGUGGGGUAGAUAGCAUAAUGCUUAUACAAAGAGACUCUCAUGCCUGAGAUUCUGAAGUCCCAGGUUCAAUCCCCUGUACCUCUAUAAGCCAGAGCUGAGCAGUUUUCUGAUGGAAAGAAAGAAAAAGAGAAAGAAAGGA